rnacentral:rRNA from 1 species
AGUCUGUCGUGAGACGGAUGAAACCCAUUGAGUUGAACUGAGCUAGGCUUUGUCUCCAUUCGAAACUUGACCUCAAAUCAGGUAGGAUUACCCGCUGAACUUAAGCAUAUCA